GUUUCUGUAGUGUAGUGGUUAUCACAUUCUCCUCACAUGUGAUAGGUCCCCGGUUCGAAACCGGGCAGAAACA